rnacentral:rRNA from 1 species
ACGCAAUAGAUGCCCGGGUAGUCCACGCCCUAAACGAUGUCUACUAGUUGUCGGGUCUUAAUUGACUUGGUAAACGCAGCUAAACGCGUGAAGUAGACCGCCUGGGGAGUACGGUCGCAAGAUUAAAACUCAAAGGAAUUGACGGGGACCCGGCACAAGCGGUGGAUGAUGUGGAUUAAAUUCGAUGCAACGCGAAAAACCUUAACCUACCCUUGACAUGGAUGGAAUCCCUGAGAGAUUGGGGAGUGCUCGAAAGAGAACCAUUACACAGGUGCUGCAUGGCUGUCGUCAGCUCGUGUCGUGAGAUGUUGGGUUAAGUCCCGCAACGAGCGCAACCCUUGUCAUUAGUUGCUACGAAAGGGCACUCUAAUGAGACUGCCGGUGACAAACCGGAGGAAGGUGGGGAUGACGUCAAGUCCUCAUGGCCCUUAUGGGUAGGGCUUCACACGUCAUACAAUGGUACAUACAGAGGGCUGCCAACCCGCGAGGGGUAGCUAAUCCCAGAAAGUGUAUCGUAGUCCGGAUUGUAGUCUGCAACUC